rnacentral:tRNA from 1 species
GGACCAGUAGUGUAGUGGUAACGCGUUGCGUCCGGGCGUGAAGGGGAGUGGUUCGAUUCCCUCCUGGUGCA